rnacentral:lncRNA from 1 species
AUAGAUCAACUAUCAGGUGGAAAGAAAACAGAAAAUAAACCUUUGAAUAGUGCAUCUCCUUUAUUUGCUGAAAAUUUAACAGAUUUUCUUUCUCUUCUUUCUAGCAGUAUAGAUUACAUCUGAAUGUGCAUCUUCAUGACAUGAUGCUAACACUACCGUCGAUGUUGUAAACAAAAUUCAGAGGCAUUCACACUCCUUAAACAUUGGUACAACUAUACAAAAUUCAGAGGUAUUCACACUCCUUAAACAUUGGUACAUCUGUACCACCCAAUUAGGAACCUUAAUAAGGACUGAAACCUAGGAUUAAUCGACAGGAUAACGGCUGUAAUCUGGACCAUCCUCUGUCACAAUCACCAUGGCUGUUUUGGGGAACAAAAGACUUGGUUUACAUCGACACCACAGCUCACGACUCAGUUUAACAACACCCCCGUCCUCCCCCUCCUCCUCAAGGCUUCUGAUCUGAUCCUGCUGCUGCUUCUUGAUAACCAAAAGCUAGAUGAGGAGCCUGCUGCAAGUAAAAAGGAACAAUGGUAUUAGGCGCAUCGUAGAUUCAAAAUCGCCUUGAGAAGUACCGGAGGGUGAGUCCUUUUUUCUGUUAUUGAUGCUAUAUAUUCUAGGUUUAACCGGGUAAAAUAGUUAUGCUCGUUUCCACAAUCGUCCGGGAAAUUUCUUUUUCAUCAGUAUAUGGCAUGCCAAAACAAUCAUAAGCUGAAGUUGAGGAGGAACAAAGAAAAAGUGCUCCCGAGCAGGAUUCCGUUUUAUGGACAGCCGACAACAAUUGGAGUCUGGAUCACUCCAGAUUGUGGCAGAUGAGCAUGUGAACCAAAAUUUAUCUCACAUGAAUGAGUAGCUUUCCUUUUCCUUUUUUUUUGUGCGUGCAGCUAGGCAACAAGCUGAUUCAUCUGCUGUGGUACAAAGAAGAAUCACAUGCGUCUUGUCCAGUUCUGCCAGGACGAUAUAAUCCUCCAUUUGAAGUGGGAAUAGGAAGAAGUGGGGGUUUCCGGAAUGGCGGUUGAAGCUCUCCUUGACGAUCUGGACACCGUCGCAGCAGCCGAGCAACCACACGACGGCGCUUCCUCUUCCCAGCAGCAGCUCACCGUGGACAGCUACGGCCUGAGUGGGCCACUGUUCCUGGCGCAGCCAACAACCACUGCAGCAAGCACAUAUCUGCAUGCUGCAGUCACCAGCCCUGGGCUGUGCAGCGUCAACAGCAGCCUUGGAGAAAACCAAUUUCAGAUUGCCGCAGGGGGUAGCCCUGAGCACCGCAGGAUCAGAUCAAACGAUGCGCUUCACUACAUAAGCCAGAUGCUGAUGGAGGACGUCGACGAGGCACCGGUCGGCGUGUGCCAAGAGGAGGCUGCUGCUCUCCAGGCCGCCGAGAAGCCAUUCCGUGACAUCCUUGGGCCGGUAUACCCGCCGGCUACUAACUGGCAACAAUUGCAUAGCAGCAAUGGAACAGGUAACUCUGGUAAGAGCUGGACCAGCCGUUACAAGAGGCUCUGGAGCACUAGCUUCGGUGAUAACGACUGUUCCAGUUACAGCGUGUUACAGCCCUUAACAACAUACCCGUUGAGUCUAUAUACCUGCAAUAGGAGUCUUCUUUCUCUGCAAAAACGUCCGUUGAUAAGUGUUGGGCCGACAUGUAGAUCUGGUUUCCCCGCCUUGCAUCGUCAGAGAGGAGGCGUCGAGGAGGCACCGACUGUUGCUCCAAGUAUUGAUAAGCUGGUGAUAUGUUUAGAGAAUGGCAUACUUUCUAUCACCAGACUGACCACAAAGGCGAAAGUAGGAGGGAGGAGCGAAAAUGCAAUUUUUGAGGUGGCAGACCCAAGGGAGGAGUGGGAUGUCUUGGAAAGAAGGAGCAACAAACAUCUUGCCUUCACCGCUUGUGCAAUAAUUCGAAAUGAAAAUUUCGACCGGAUUCUGCUAUGCUAUGGUCGGAAGAGUUUGGGACAAAUAGCAAGACCACAAAGAGGGAUGAUGGCAGAGGAAGGCAACAAGAGCUCGAUGAAAGGCCGGAGCAAAGGAGGUCAGAAGGUAUGGCAGAGGAAGCAACCGAGGAGAGAGUUGGUUGAUCUCAGGACUCUCCUCGUCCAUUGCGCACAAGCUAUGGCAGAACAUGACCACCUGUUGGCCAGUGACCUCCUAAAGAAGAUAAGGCAACACUCCUCAGCAGAUGGUGAUUGUACUCAGAGACUGGCAUUUUACUUGGCGGAUGGCCUCGAGGCACGCUUGGCUGGGAUCGGGAGUCAGGUUUAUCGCAACCUCAUGGAGAGGCGAACAAGUAGCACCGAUUGGUUAGAUGCUUGCAGCCAUUUUCUUGCAUCCUGCCCUUUCGACAGGACGUCACACUACUUUGCCAGCCAAGCAAUUCUUGAUGUUUCACAAGGGCAACCAAGGGUGCACAUCGUUGAUUUCGGUAUCGGCUUCGGCCUUCAAUGGCCAUUAAUGAUUCAGAGGUUCUCACUGCAAGAAGAGGGAGCCCCUAAGCUUCGGAUCACAGGUAUAGACGUUCCCCAGCCAGGUUUCCACCCCUGCGAAAUGAUUGAGGAGACAGGGAAGCGGUUGGCUGAUUAUGCACACAUGUUCAAGGUACCUUUUCAGUAUCAGGGCAUUGCCGCCUCAAGAUGGGAUACCAUUAAAAUUCAGGAUCUUAACAUCGACGAGGAUGAAGUUCUGAUAAUCAACUGCAUGUUCCGGAUGAAGAAUCUUGGUCAUGACACCGAAGCUGUAAAUAGUAGGGAUAAGGUGCUCAAAACUAUGAGGAGGAUGAAGCCAAAGAUUUUUAUUUCUGGCAUAGUGAACGGGUUACGCAGUUCUCCCUUCUUCAUACAACGUUUCAAAGAGGUCAUGUUCCAUUACUCUUCAAUGUUUGACAUGCUUGAUGCAAAUGUUCAACGGGAUAAUAAAGCAAGGAAGUUGAUUGAGAAGAUCCUAUUUGGGCAGGAUGCACUUAACAUCAUAGCAUGUGAAGGCGCAGAGAGAACUGAGAGGCCGGAGAGUUACAGGCAGUGGCAAGCAAGGUGCCUCAAGGCUGGGUUCCAGCAGCUUCCCGUCGAUCCAGCCAUCUUAAAGAACAUAGUACAAAUGAAGAACCCACUUUCUCAUGAGGAAUUCUUCGUUAAUGAAGAUUGCGGUUGGCUGCUACAAGGAUGGAAAGGGAGAGUACUUUAUGCUGUUUCUAAAUGGAAACCUAAUGAAACAUAUGAUGAUAAGUAACAUUCAAACACUUUUACCUUUCCAGAGAUUACAUGUGAAAUGAUGCAUGAUUAGGUACUUUAUGCUGUUGACGACGUCGCUGUUCAAGUUUCCGGCAAAG